rnacentral:rRNA from 1 species
UACAGAGGGUGCGAGCGUUAAUCGGAUUUACUGGGCGUAAAGGGCGCGUAGGCGGUUUAAUAGGUGUGGUGUGAAAGCCCUGGGCUUAACCUGGGAAGUGCAUCGCAAACGAUUGAACUGGAGUAGAUGAGAGGGUGGCGGAAUUUCCGGUGUAGCGGUGAAAUGCGUAGAGAUCGGAAGGAACGUCGAUGGCGAAGGCAGCCACCUGGCAUCAUACUGACGCUGAGGCGCGAAAGCGUGGGGAGCGAACAGG